rnacentral:misc_RNA from 1 species
AUUGCCUGCAUCUGUGCAGCCAUAGCAAGAGAGUUACUCGCCAUGUUCGCCAUGCUUUGCUGAGAUGGUGGCGCCUGCAUGGGCUUCGUAGCUACCGUUUGGCCAAGCAAUGUUGGCUGGGAAGGAAGCUUUGGGUCUGGCCUCUGAUCGGUCAUCAACUGCUGUCCCUGGUCUGAUUGUUUCUCGCUACGAGAGAAAAGUUGCUCAGAGGAUAUCUUUGAUGAUGAUGCUUGGGCCUGGUUCGGUGCCUGCAUGGAAACGAGUUCCUGAAUUUUCAUAUUAGCAAGUCUAGGAUCUUGGUCCUUUGCAGAAGGGCCAAACAUUCCCAUUUUCAUUUGCUGCUGAUGUUGCAUCCCA